rnacentral:rRNA from 1 species
CAGCCGCCACGGUAAUACGAAGGGGGCUAGCGUUGUUCGGAUUUACUGGGCGUAAAGGGCGCGUAGGCGGACUGAUAAGUCAGGGGUGAAAUCCCAAGGCUCAACCUUGGAACUGCCUUUGAUACUGUUUGUCUUGAGUUCGAGAGAGGUAAGUGGAACCGCAAGUGUAGAGGUGAAAUUCGUAGAUAUUCGCAAGAACACCAGUGGCGAAGGCGGCUUACUGGCUCGAAACUGACGCUGAGGCGCGAAAGCGUGGGGAGCAAACAGGAUUAGAGACCCGAGUAGUCCCUGUCUCUUAUAA